AACGCACCUUGCGCUCCUUGGUAUUCCGAGGAGCAUGCCUGUUUGAGUGUCAUGAAUCUCUCAACCUUUUCAGUUUUUAUUAACUGGUCUGGCUUGGAUUGUGGGAGUUGCUGGCUUUAUCAAAAGUUUGCUCUCCUUAAAUGUAUUAGCAAUAUCUUUGCUGACCAUCUCUGGUGUGAUAAUUAUCUACGCCAUUGGGAAAUCAGCAUAUGCUUCUAAUAGUCCGUUUGGACAAUUUUUGACAAUUUGACCUCAAAUCAGGUAGGAUUACCCGCUGAACUUAA
rnacentral:misc_RNA from 1 species